rnacentral:rRNA from 1 species
CCUACGGGAGGCUGCAGUGGGGAAUAUUGCACAAUGGGGGAAACCCUGAUGCAGCAACGCCGCGUGAGUGAAGAAGUAUUUCGGUAUGUAAAGCUCUAUCAGCAGGGAAGAAGAUGACGGUACCUGUGUAAGAAGCCCCGGCUAACUACGUGCCAGCAGCCGCGGUACUACGUAGUGGGCAAGCGUUAUCCGGAUUUUAUGGGUGUAAAGGGAGCGCAGACGGUGAGACAAGUCUGAAGUGAAAGCCCGGGGGUCAACCCCGGGAGUGCUUUGGAAACUGCCUGACUGGAGUGCUGGAGAGGCAAGCGGAAUUCGUAGUGUAGCGGUGAAAUGCGUAGAUAUUAGGAAGAACACCAGUGGCGAAGGCGGCUUGCUGUACAGUAACUGACGUUGAGGCUCGAAAGCGUGGGGAGCAAACAGGAUUAGAUACCCUUGUAGUC